rnacentral:lncRNA from 1 species
CUGCUCAUCAUGUUGCAUCAGCACGAAGGGCUGCGCCAGCCUCUCCUACACAGGGACCAACACACCAAAGUCAUCCUUCUCAUCAUACUCCGAGAUAGGCACGUUCUUUGAAAAGUGAUAAUAAAUAGCUGAGUCCUGGGCUGGCCA